UACGUAGGGUGCAAGCGUUGUCCGGAAUUAUUGGGCGUAAAGAGCUUGUAGGCGGUUUGUCGCGUCUGCUGUGAAAUUUCGGGGCUCAACCCCGAACUUGCAGUGGGUACGGGCAGACUAGAGUGUGGUAGGGGAGACUGGAAUUCCUGGUGUAGCGGUGAAAUGCGCAGAUAUCAGGAGGAACACCGAUGGCGAAGGCAGGUCUCUGGGCCAUAACUGACGCUGAGAAGCGAAAGCAUGGGGAGCGAACAGGAUUAGAACCUACCGUAGUCAGUCCAAGACC
rnacentral:rRNA from 1 species